CGAACGAGAGAAGAGAGGCUUGCUUUUCUGAUCUAGUGGCGGACGGGUGAGUAACACGUGAGCAAUCUGCCUUUCAGAGGGGGAUACCGAUUGGAAACGAUCGUUAAUACCGCAUAACAUAAUUGAACCGCAUGAUUUGAUUAUCAAAGAUUUAUCGCUGAAAGAUGAGCUCGCGUCUGAUUAGCUGGUUGGUAAGGUAACGGCUUACCAAGGCGACGAUCAGUAGCCGGACUGAGAGGUUGAUCGGCCACAUUGGGACUGAGACACGGCCCAGACUCCUACGGGAGGCAGCAGUGGGGAAUAUUGCACAAUGGAGGAAACUCUGAUGCAGCGAUGCCGCGUGAGGGAAGAAGGUUUUAGGAUUGUAAACCUCUGUCUUCAGGGACGAAAAAAUGACGGU
rnacentral:rRNA from 1 species